rnacentral:sRNA from 1 species
UCUCAGCCCCGAUAGAAGCGACAUCCUUUCCUGCCGGGGUUCGGCAGGAAAGAUAUAGUGGAUAGCGGGACCAAUC